rnacentral:rRNA from 1 species
UACGUAGGGUGCAAGCGUUAAUCGGAAUUACUGGGCGUAAAGCGUGCGCAGGCGGUGAUGUAAGACAGAUGUGAAAUCCCCGGGCUCAACCUGGGAACUGCAUUUGUGACUGCAUCGCUGGAGUGCGGCAGAGGGGGGAUGGAAUUCCGCGUGUAGCAGUGAAAUGCGUAGAUAUGCGGAGGAACACCGAUGGCGAAGGCAAUCCCCUGGGCCUGCACUGACGCUCAUGCACGAAAGCGUGGGGAG